UCAAAUGAAUUGACGGGGAGCACCACAACAGGUGGAGCCUGCGGUUUAAUCGGACUUCGAACGCCGGGGAAAACUCACCAGAUAAGACGGCUGAAUGAUAGUCGGGCUGAAGACUCUACUUGACUAGCUGAGAGGAGGUGCAUGGCCGUCGUCAGUUCGUACUGUGAAGCAUCCUGUUAAGUCAGGCAACGAGCGAGACCCACGCCAACAGUUGCCAGCGUACUCUCUGGAGUGACGGGUACACUGUGGGACCGCCGCUGCUAAAGCGGAGGAAGGAAUGGGCAACGGUAGGUCAGUAUGCCCCGAAUAUCCCGGGCUACACGCGAGCUACAAUGGUUGGUACAAUGGGUAUCUACCCCGAAAGGGGACGGGAAUCUCCUAAAACCAAUCUUAGUUCGGAUUGAGGGCUGCAACUCGCCCUCAUGAAGCUGGAAUCCGUAGUAAUCGCGUUUCAACAGAACGCGGUGAAUACGUCCCUGCUCCUU
rnacentral:rRNA from 1 species